rnacentral:rRNA from 1 species
UCAUUAUCUUCCCAAUGAAAGAGCUUUACAACCCUAAGGCCUUCAUCACUCACGCGGCAUGGCUGGAUCAGGCUUGCGCCCAUUGUCCAAGAUUCCCCACUGCUGCCUCCCGUAAGAAUACCA